ACGGGAGGCAACAGUGGGGAAUAUUGCACAAUGGGGGAAACCCUGAUGCGGCAACGCCGCGUGAAGGAAGACGGUCUUCGGAUUGUAAACUUUUGUUCUUAGUGAAGAUAAUGACGGUAGCUAAGGAGAAAGCCACGGCUAACUACGUGCCAGCAGCCGCGGUAAUACGUAGGUGGCAAGCGUUGUCCGGAAUUACUGGGUGUAAAGGGAGCGCAGGCGGGAAAUCAAGUUGGAUGUGAAAUGUCGGGGCUUAACCCCGGAACUGCAUCCAAAACUGAUUUUCUUGAGUGGAGUAGAGGUAGGCGGAAUUCCGAGUGUAGCGGUGAAAUGCGUAGAUAUUCGGAGGAACACCAGUGGCGAAGGCGGCCUACUGGGCUUUAACUGACGCUGAGGCUCGAAAGUGUGGGGAGCAAACAGGAUUAGAUACCCUGGUA
rnacentral:rRNA from 1 species